rnacentral:rRNA from 1 species
UACGUAGGUGGCAAGCGUUAUCCGGAAUUACUGGGCGUAAAGCGCACGCAGGUGGUUAUUCAAGUCUGAUGUGAAAGCUCCUGGCUUAACUGGGAGAGGUCGUUGGAAACUGGAUAACUUGAGGUGAUGAGAGGGGUGUGGAAUUCCCGGUGUAGUGGUGGAAUGCGUAGAUAUCGGGGGGAACACCAGUGGCGAAAGCG